UAUCCUAGUCUCCCUCUGGGGAUUGACAGACCUGCUGCCCACUGCUGGGCAAGAAGCCAGAAGAGCCCAAGAAAGACAGCUGCAGGGUGCUGCUGUGGAGAGGUGCUGGGGAGCACGAGGCUCAGUUGGUAAACGCUACCCCCGAGUCGCUACUCAGAGAACUGUUUCUUCUUUUUCUUUUGGGAGCAGAUGUGAAGGUUGCUGGUGACCAGCUGUUCAAGCAGGAGAACUGCCCCAAGAGCGAAGAGCUCAGUGCCCUAAGAAGUGCUCGUCCCAGCUUGAGACAAGACACAGAAAAAGAAUAAAACCAGAAGAAACUUUCCCAGAACACGAGAUCUAGUUGACCUAGAAGCAGCCCCUGCUGGACCUCCACAGGCUGCAUGGGAGGCAUGAGCCAUGAAAAGACAUACACACACACACACACACACACACACACACACACACACACACACACACACAGAGGCAGGCAGUGAGAUCAGGAUCCAUCCCUGGUGCAUGAUUGGGCUUUUUUGGGAGCCCAGUGCCUAUGGUGGGACACCUUGCUCAGCCUUGGUGCAGGGGGAGGGACUUGGACCUGCCUCAACUGAAUGUCUACAGGCUCUGCUGACUCCCCAUGGGA